rnacentral:rRNA from 1 species
GAUGAACGCUAGCGGCAGGCCUAACACAUGCAAGUCGAGGGGUAGAGGAAGCUUGCUUCCUUGAGACCGGCGCACGGGUGCGUAACGCGUAUGCAAUCUACCUUGUACAGAGGGAUAGCCCAGAGAAAUUUGGAUUAAUACCUCAUAGUAUUAUUGAAUGGCAUCAUUUAAUAAUUAAAGUUCCAACGGUACAAGAUGAGCAUGCGUCCUAUUAGCUAGUUGGUGUGGUAACGGCAUACCAAGGCUACGAUAGGUAGGGGUCCUGAGAGGGAGAUCCCCCACACUGGUACUGAGACACGGACCAGACUCCUACGGGAGGCAGCAGUGAGGAAUAUUGGACAAUGGGCGCAAGCCUGAUCCAGCCAUGCCGCGUGCAGGAAGACGCAUCUAUGGUGUGUAAACUGCUUUUGUACGGGAAGAAACACUCCCUCGUGAGGGAGCUUGACGGUACCGUAAGAAUAAGGAUCGGCUAACUCCGUGCCAGCAGCCGCGGUAAUACGGAGGAUCCAAGCGUUAUCCGGAAUCAUUGGGUUUAAAGGGUCCGUAGGCGGUUUAAUAAGUCAGUGGUGAAAGCCCAUCGCUCAACGAUGGAACGGCCAUUGAUACUGUUAGACUUGAAUUACAAGGAAGUAACUAGAAUAUGUAGUGUAGCGGUGAAAUGCUUAGAUAUUACAUGGAAUACCAAUUGCGAAGGCAGGUUACUACUUGUGGAUUGACGCUGAUGGACGAAA